rnacentral:sRNA from 1 species
UAUGUAAUAAGGCGAACCUAUUAAUGC